UAUAUUUCAGAUUCUCAAGAACACAAUUAGAUUUUAGAUUGGUUAUGGUGGUUAUGCCUUUUUACAUAGGUUGUGUAUGGAAACAACCUCUAUGCACACGGAAGAAGGCUGUGCACCUGACAGACCAGAGCAGUGGAGGGAACUUGGUGCUCUGAGCUGUUAAGAAGUCGCGUCUAUUGCUAGCCUUCAUGUAUCACAUAGGUGCAAAAGUGAAGAUGUGAGGUCCGGGUUCUGUCUGUUUUUGGCUGUCUUCGGCUCCCUUCGAACUCCCACUCGCAAGAGCUUACACCGUUCCACUCUUCACCGUUGUUCACUCCGGCUCGACAUCACUUCGGCUGCUGGGUUAGUUUAUCACU